rnacentral:rRNA from 1 species
UACGGCUGAACCACCCUGAACGUGCCUGAUCACAUCUGAUCUCCGAAGCUAAGCAGGGUUGGGCCUGGUUAGUACUUGGAUGGGAGGAUAAAACCUCCACUUCCAUCCAUAU